UACGAAGGGGGCUAGCGUUGUUCGGAAUUAUUGGGGCGUAAAGCGCACGUAGGCGGCUUAGCAAGUCGGGAUGUGAAAUCCCUCGGCUCAACCAAGGAAGUGCAUCCCGAAACUGCUGAGCUUGAGUACGAAAGAGGAUCGCGGAAUUCCCGGUGUAGAGGUGAAAUUCGUAGAUAUCGGGAGGAACACCAGUGGCGAAGGCGGCGUCUGGGUCGAUACUGACGCUGAGGUGCGAAAGCGUGGGGAGCAAACAGG
rnacentral:rRNA from 1 species